AUGUUUUGUCCAUAUUGUGGCCAUAACGUGGGAGAAGUUUUCAAGUUCUGCGGUUCAUGUGGCAAACAUAUUGAGUUUUUGGCGUUUGUCGACAACAGGUCAAUUCAAGAAAACAUUUCCAUCGAAGACCUCAUUCAGAAAUAUUUCAGAGACGGUUACUCCUUUAAUGAAACUUUGGACAUUCUGGCCUCAAAACAUAAACAGAAGAUCAGUCUGACCACACUUAAAUGUAGAAUAAGAAGUUUAUCACUGUCCCGCAAAAAACAUUACUCACCUCAGGCCUUGAUUCGUGCUGCAAUAAUAGAAGAGCUGAAGGGACCUGGUCAACAUUAUGGAUACCGUUCAAUGUGGCAGACACUGCGUCAGAAACACCAUCUUUCUGUGAAAAGGCAUGAUGUCAUGGUGAUGAUGGCAGAGCUCAACCCAUCUGGAGUCCAAAAGCGCUCAAGGAAAAAGUUUGUACGAAGAGUUUAUGAUUCACCUGGACCAAACCACACUUGGCAUGUUGAUGGAUAUGACAAAUUAAAGCCAUAUGGUUUGGCUAUCAGUGGUUGUAUUGAUGGCUAUUCACGGAAGGUAUUAUGGUUGGUUUGCGGAGCAACUAGCAGCAACCCAGAAGUCAUAGCUCAACACUACGUUCAGUGUGCUCCAGAGUUUGGAGUCAUACCAGUGCGACUUCACACAGACUGCGGCACUGAAAAUGGGACGAUGGCAGCAAUGCAUUGUGCCUUAUGGUCAUCUCAUCAAGAUUUUUUUGCAGGAGCUGCCAGUCAUAUGUAUGGAUCUUCAACAACAAAUCAAAGAAUUGAAAGCUGGUGGUCGUACUUCAGAAAACAGCGAACACAGUUCUGGAUGGACCUUUUGAGUGACAUGAAGGAAAUGCACCUCUUCAAUGGUAGUCAUGAACACAUGUGCUUGGUGCGCUUCAUUUUCAUGGCUGUGCUUCAGAGGGAUCUGGAUGAAUGCAAAAGAAAGGUCGUGUCCAAAUUCAUGGGCUGCAUCCUCCUGAGGACCCA
rnacentral:lncRNA from 1 species